rnacentral:rRNA from 1 species
GACGUAGGGUGCAAGCGUUGUCCGGAUUUAUUGGGCGUAAAGAGCUCGUAGGCGGCUUGUUGCGUCGACUGUGAAAACCCGCGGCUUAACCGCGGGCUUGCAGUUGAUACGGGCAGGCUAGAGUUCGGUAGGGGAGACUGGAAUUCCUGGUGUAGCGGUGAAAUGUGCAGAUAUCAGGAGGAACACCGGUGGCGAAGGCGGGUCUCUGGGCCACUACUGACGCUGAGAAGCGAAAGCAUGGGGAGCGAACAGG